UCAACCGGAUUCGAGGACGGAGCGCGACAGCGCGUGCCGCGACUUUGUAAGCACGCGCCGGUCGAGUGCAUCGCGCCGCGCCGUCGUCGGCCGGUGGCGGCUGGCGGAGAGUUCUCGGCGAGCUCGCCGCGUCGUCGGAGCGUUUGCACAAUAGCGGUGUUCAGGUAUCAGGUCUCGUCGCGCCCUCUAAGACGGACGGUAGGGGUGGGGCUGGCACUGCGGCCAUUCCACAAGCGAGAUUACGGACGGUCGGUCGGUCGGGCGCCUCUCUUUCGACCGGCACGUAAGGCCGCUAAGAAACAGAGUAAAAUAACACCAGGUAGUCCUAGGUGCCUGCGAAAGGGGCGGGACUAAAACCUGCUUGCCUUAGUCGGGACGGCCUGGCCACUUAGACGUAGACGUAGACCUGCGCGGCCGCGGACGCACCUGUCGCCCUAGCGCGCGGUACGCAACCAACCUGUCGUUCGCGCUUCGGCUUCGGCUAGGCUACCCGCGACAGUCCCCGAAAACCCUGGUACCUUUGACCCGCCCCCGCUGCACCCGCGGUCGGCGCGCUUCGGUCUCGGCCCCUGCCGUGAAAUGAACGGACGCCACGAUUGCAUCGGCGCGGGACGCGGUGGUCAGUAGGUGAGAGGUGGCCGGCAGAGGAGGAGAACUGGGUCCCGGUCCCUCCUAAAGUGGGCGGCUCCGACUCGGCUCAGUGGCCAGUCGGGGAGCGAAGGAAGGACGAGAGCGGAGGAGCCGAGAAGGGGGCGACGGGGCGCGGUGGCGGAGGCGGCCGUCGGCCCUGGCACCUCGUUGCCGUACAGAGAACUAGAGAAAAGCAGGUCCAAGAACAAAAGAAGACCGCGACGCUUCUUCGAGGGGUCGUCCUCUUCCCAGUGCAAGCAGCGACGACGAGGAAGCAGAGGCAGGUGUGGUAGCGGCGGUGCCAGCGUCCUACGGAGGAGAAGAAGGUCCGUUUCCUCACAUGCACGGUGCGGCAACUCAGGGUUGUUUCCACGCAGAGCUGGACGGCCAUCGUUACCGUCCUGAUCCUCCUCCUCCGUCUCCUCCUGCCAGCUCCCUCCUGUUCUUGUUCCGUCGACGCACGGCAGCCACCUCCUCCGCAGGUAUUCCCAUCCCUGCGACAUACUCUUGCCGCUAGGUGAUCCCGCCUUCCUCGAACCGGCCACACAGCACCUCACCGAUUCCGUCCCCUACGUCAGGUACCGUAGGUUUAAGCGAAGGCGGCUCGAAGUCCCACUGUACCGCCUGGAGUGGUGUCGCCGUAACUGAGACUUAACCCCUAGCCGUCUUCCGGUCGAACCCAAACACUAGGUCCGUGUCGGGAUAGAGAGUAGGUAGGGGUACGGGUUCCCAGACCUCAGUGAGACGAAGUUCCGGACAUGCGUGAUGGGGUGGGAAAAACUGGUAAAGGUCGCACUCGAGGCACCACAGGACGACUCAAUAGUCUUGGUCCCCGAGUAGACCCUGACCGCGAGGUGCGUCUGUACCUUCGACAACUUCCUUUACCGGUUAAGAUGAGUAGUGGCCCGUCGACACGCGUCCUGCUGUGGUGCUUGAUUUCGCCAAGUAUCAUCGUAACCGCAUUCGGAGUUCUUCCAUUCCGACUACGUCCUAUCCUAACUUCUGAAACACUCCGUAUACAGUCUCGAUGACGCGUAGCUCGCUCUACGCCUCGACCUCAAAUGUGUCCUCCUCGACUUACGGUGGUGAUACGAGCUGUUGUUAAGGUUCGGUAGGUUCGGUCAUCUCAUGAACCACUGGGUACCCGUCCGAGUCGUCCUCGUCACACUGUGGUAAACGUUGAACUCACAGUAGUCGUCGAGUUGACCUAAUCCUCCAGAUGUAAACCAAGAUAAAUCUUAACUUCCACUUGUGUUCGACGGAGGUUGGUGUGACAGUGGACCCCUGUACCAAACACACUCUUGUACAUUAUCGGCACCACUCCCUCGGUGAAGAACGUACGUUCCGAAAGAAAUAUUAGAGCCCCUCCUACCAACGUCGUAUUGACACCGAGACCUUAGAGCGGUACCACUGGGUUGGAAGAGGUCCAAUAAACCCUUUUCACACGCGUAACUGGCCUAUGUCCCUAACCGACUACGUGAAUGAAUACUCGCCUUAGAACUUCGUAACUACGAUGAAGUUUCCUUACCAAACGACUUUUCAUUACGAAGGUAACUACACCAUCGAUGAGACAAGCCACUGUCGUUUCUACAGUACUUCUACCUCGUCUUAACGGACUAACUAACCCCACUUAGUUCACAUGGACUAGGUUCCGAUAGUCUCUCCACACGUAAACUACUGAGGGUCAAUUCCCGAGAGAGUAAUCCGGACUUGUUCUUCUCCGGACAAGAUCAGUAGGUCCCCGGAGGACCGUGUCCGUUCUGUCAAAACGAGUGCCUUGAGUAACAUGCACGACAGGCCGUCCCACUUUCACAGGAACACUGUCGAGGUUCGUUACGCCGUCAGCUAUUGUACCAACUUUCCAAUAGUUCUUGAACGAAUUUGUAACACGCUCAACCUUUGGGACGAGCCUAUAGUGGUAGCCAAUGAAGCUUCAGGAACCGUCUCUAACAUUUACCUUCCGAACCAGUCAAAUCCUUCCUCGAACUCUCUUUCUCUUGACUGAAUUCUUUCCUGAACUCCCUGACGUAUCUCCUGCUAAGAAAUCGACGUCCGUAAGCAGUUGAAGACUUCGUUGAACCCUCCCUAGACCUUUACUUUCUUUUUCUUUGCUAGUACCUUCACGAUAGACUACGUGUCCAACACGAAAGAUGAUUGUGUCCCCGUCGGCUAGGUGAAUAGUCCUUUUGACCAACAAAACUGAACCAUUAAUAUCUACUUCGUCCAGUUCCUUAACUCGGGAGAACGACCUAAGGGUAUGACGUCCCUUUUGCAACAUAAGAACGCCCACUAGUAACGGUUGAACGUGGACGGUAUAACAGUUCCUUCCGGGACCUUCCACCCGAACCAUUUAGAUACUACCUUUCCCGAAGUAACAACGUACUACCUAAUGAAUGAUGUUCUGACUGUCAGGUCGUAUCUUACGUACUAAGUUAUCGGUCAACCCGUAGAUUUCUCUACAUAGUCCCCAAUGAGGUCAGAAGUGUAAGCCAACGAAGCGUAGAAGAACGGCUGAGAGGUCAACAUUUCCUAUGAACCUAUUGUGCCACGGGUGACGAAAAUGAACUAUGGGCUUACGGUAUACCUUAAGAUUUGCAACUAACACACCUCGUAAAUCUGGGACGACCGUGGCCUAGUAAAAUAUUACUGCCUCUUCGUCUUUAUCAAUGUGUUGUACAAGAGUUAGAACACGUAACACCUCACAGAGGUUUACUCUAUCGGUAGGUCAGUGGGAUGUAACGAGUUCAAGUUAAUAAUUCUCUCUUCAAUCUUCUUAUAGGCCUCGAAAGACCCCAACUCCAAAGUUGUCAUCUAUCGAAAGUUCCCUCCCUCCGUCUACGCCACCAGGAUAGUUACCAAGCCAGUUUGGGUGACCCUCGACAUCCCAAGUACCCGCUGUCGUCCGAUUACUUACACCGAUAGUGUUCCCGUGCGGCCGUACAGUGACACCAUACACUGUGGAGCUGGUAAACGGUGUCGUGGAAGGAACGGGCCGAGGAGGCAGUAUAGUCCGCCAUACCUGUUCAUUUUGUACAACGUGGACCAAGGGAUCUACCCCAGAGGCCUGAGCCGAAGUCGGUUGGGUGAGAGGGCAGAUAGUCGAUCGCGAGGGGCGUCAAGUGACAGAACUACCGUAUUAAGUAAGUAUACGAGUAUACUCGUACAUAUAUACGCUUCUCGAUUUCCUACAUAUAUGUCAGUACGCUUUUUUGACUUCCGACUCUUUGAUAUUACGGGCAGAGUCUGCACGGACAGACCAUAGUUAGACACUUCUUCUGCUUCUUGAGCUCUUCUAUACUUCUCUUUAACCACCUAUCUGUACCUUCUCGAAGCGGUCCACACACCAAUAGAACUCUACUGGUGUGUGGACACGGUACACCAAGCGGUCCACACACCAACUAUACUUCGUACCGGUAAGCAACCUGGAUUGACUUCCGAAUCGACUAGUACGUAGGGACUUAACCACGUGCACUAAGUAAGUCGUCUUCCUUCUGAUGGAGUGAAGGACAUUUAAGAUUGAUUAUAACAACUGUACCUAUGGGGUUGUGUCUGCACAUCAUUUAACUGUUAAGUGUUAACUCAACCUUUUUCUUACGUAAAGUAGAGCUUCAAUUUACUGUGUUAUAGUUCAAUGUCCGCGCAAAGAGAAUUAGGGACCUUUCUUUUUCUUUUUUUG
rnacentral:rRNA from 1 species